GAUGAACGCUGGCGGCGUGCUUAACACAUGCAAGUCGAACGGUGAAGCAGGAGCUUGCUCUUGUGGAUCAGUGGCGAACGGGUGAGUAACACGUGAGCAACCUGCCCCUGACUCUGGGAUAAGCGCUGGAAACGGCGUCUAAUACUGGAUAUGUGAUGUGACCGCAUGGUCUGCAUCUGGAAAGAAUUUCGGUUGGGGUUGGGCUCGCGGCCUAUCAGCUUGUUGGUGAGGUAAUGGCUCACCAAGGCGUCGACGGGUAGCCGGCCUGAGAGGGUGACCGGCCACAAUGGGACUGAGACACGGCCCAGACUCCUACGGGAGGCAGCAGUGGGGAAUAUUGCACAAUGGGCGGAAGCCUGAUGCAGCAACGCGGCGUGAGGGAUGACGGCCGUCGGGUUGUAAACCGCUUUUAGCAGGGAAGAAGCGAAAGUGACGGUACCUGCAGAAAAAGCACCGGCUAACUACGUGCCAGCAGCCGCGGUAA
rnacentral:rRNA from 1 species